UACGAGGGGGGCGAGCGUUGUUCGGAAUUAUUGGGCGUAAAGGGUGCGUAGGCGGUUCCGCAAGUCCUGUGUGAAAUCUUCGGGCUCAACUCGAAGUCUGCACGGGAAACUGCGGGGCUUGAGUGUGGGAGAGGUGAGUGGAAUUCCCGGUGUAGCGGUGAAAUGCGUAGAUAUGCGGAGGAACACCGAUGGCGAAGGCAGCCCCCUGGGCUAACACUGACGCUCAGGCACGAAAGCGUGGGGAGCGAACAGG
rnacentral:rRNA from 1 species